ACAGGGUGGCCAGGUUGGGAGACA
rnacentral:piRNA from 1 species